CCAGCCGGUUGGACGGCCGCUCGGGCGAGACGCGAAAGCGUGCCCGGGAGGAAAGUCCGGGCUCCACGGAAACACGGUGCCGGGUAACGCCCGGCGGGGGCGACCCCAGGGAAAGUGCCACAGAAAACAGACCGCCCCGGCAUGCCGGGGUAAGGGUGAAACGGUGGGGUGAGAGCCCACCGCGGCUCCGGCAACGGAGACGGCACGGCAAACCCCACCGGGAGCAAGACCGAAUAGGGGCGGCGCGGGUCUCCGGACCCGGUUCGUUUCCGAGCCAGCCGCCCGGGUGGGUUGCGCGAGGCGUCCGGCAACGGACGUCCCAGAUGAAUGGUCGUCGGGCGGGAAACCGCUCACAGAACCCGGCUUACAGACCGGCUGGCACA
rnacentral:RNase_P_RNA from 1 species